rnacentral:rRNA from 1 species
ACGCCGCGUGGGGGAAUGAAGGUCUUCGGAUUGUAAACCCCUGUCAUGUGGGAGCAAAUUAAAAAGAUAGUACCACAAGAGGAAGAGACGGCUAACUCUGUGCCAGCAGCCGCGGUAAUACAGAGGUCUCAAGCGUUGUUCGGAAUCACUGGGCGUAAAGCGUGCGUAGGCUGUUUCGUAAGUCGUGUGUGAAAGGCGCGGGCUCAACCCGCGGACGGCACAUGAUACUGCGAGACUAGAGUAAUGGAGGGGGAACCGGAAUUCUCGGUGUAGCAGUGAAAUGCGUAGAUAUCGAGAGGAACACUCGUGGCGAAGGCGGGUUCCUGGACAUUAACUGACGCUGAGGCACGAAGGCCAGGGGAGCGAAAGGGAUUAGAUACCCCUGUAGUCCUGGCAGUAAACGGUGCACGCUUGGUGUGCGGGGAAUCGACCCCCUGCGUGCCGGAGCUAACGCGUUAAGCGUGCCGCCUGGGGAGUACGGUCGCAAGAUUAAAACUCAAAGAAAUUGACGGGGACCCGCACAAGCGGUGGAGUAUGUGGCUUAAUUCGAUGCAACGCGAAGAACCUUACCUGGGCUUGACAUGUAAUGAACAACAUGUGAAAGCAUGCGACUCUUCGGAGGCGUUACACAGGUGCUGCAUGGCCGUCGUCAGCUCGUGUCGUGAGAUGUUUGGUUAAGUCCAGCAACGAGCGCAACCCCUGUUGCCAGUUACCAGCACGUGAAGGUGGGGACUCUGGCGAGACUGCCCAGAUCAACUGGGAGGAAGGUGGGGACGACGUCAGGUCAGUAUGGCCCUUAUGCCCAGGGCUGCACACGUACUACAAUGCCCAGUACAGAGGGGGCCGAAGCCGCGAGGCGGAGGAAAUCCUAAAAACUGGGCCCAGUUCGGACUGUAGGCUGCAACCCGCCUACACGAAGCCGGAAUCGCUAGUAAUGGCGCAUCAGCUACGGCGCCGUGAAUACGUUCCCGGGUCUUGUACACACCGCCCGUCACAUCAUGGAAGCCGGUCGCACCCGAAGUAUCUGAAGCCAACCGCAAGGAGGCAGGGUCCUAAGGUGAGACUGGUAACUGGGAUGAAGUCGUAACAAGGUAGCCGUAGGGGAACCUGCGGCUG